AUUGAACGCUGGCGGCAUGCCUUACACAUGCAAGUCGAACGGUAACGCGGGGCAACCUGGCGACGAGUGGCGAACGGGUGAGUAAUGCAUCGGAACGUGCCCAGUAGUGGGGGAUAGCCCGGCGAAAGCCGGAUUAAUACCGCGUACGACCUACGGGUGAAAGCGGGGGACCGUAAGGCCUCGCGCUAUUGGAGCGGCCGAUGUCAGAUUAGGUUGUUGGUGGGGUAAAAGCCUACCAAGCCGACGAUCUGUAGCUGGUCUGAGAGGACGACCAGCCACACUAGGACGUAGAAACGGCCCAGACUCCUACGGGAGGCAGCAGUGGGGAAUUUUGGACAAUGGGAGCAACCCUGAUCCAGACAUGCCGCGUGCGGGAAGAAGGCCUUCGGGUUGUAAACCGCUUUUGUCAGGGAAGAAACGCUCUGGGCUAAUACCCCGGGGUAUUGACGGUACCUGAAGAAUAAGCACCGGCUAACUACGUGCCAGCCGCCGCAGUAACAC
rnacentral:rRNA from 1 species